rnacentral:piRNA from 1 species
UGAUUCCUUGUGUCUUCGGGGAGC